rnacentral:rRNA from 1 species
GACGAACGCUGGCGGCGUGCUUAACACAUGCAAGUCGAACGGAAAGGCCCUGCUUUUGUGGGGUGCUCGAGUGGCGAACGGGUGAGUAACACGUGAGUAACCUGCCCUUGACUUUGGGAUAACUUCAGGAAACUGGGGCUAAUACCGGAUAGGAGCUCCUGCUGCAUGGUGGGGGUUGGAACGUUUCGGCGGUUGGGGAUGGACUCGCGGCUUAUCAGCUUGUUGGUGGGGUAGUGGCUUACCAAGGCUUUGGCGGGUAGCCGGCCUGAGAGGGUGACCGGCCACAUUGGGACUGAGGUACGGCCCAGACUCCUACGGGAGGCAGCAGUGGGGAAUAUUGCACAAUGGGCGGAAGCCUGAUGCAGCAACGCCGCGUGCGGGAUGACGGCCUUCGGGUUGUAAACCGCUUUCGCCUGUGACGAAGCGUGAGUGACGGUAAUGGGUAAAGAAGCACCGGCUAACUACGUG